GGCUGGUCUGAAGGUAGUGAGUUAUCUCACUUGAUUGUUGACAGUCAGUUACAGAUUGAACUCCUUGCUCUACUACUUUCCUUCCUUCUCACUACUGCACUUGACUAGUCUAAA
rnacentral:Y_RNA from 1 species